rnacentral:rRNA from 1 species
AUUGAACGCUGGCGGCAGGCCUAACACAUGCAAGUCGAACGAGUGGCGGACGGGUGAGUAAUGUCUGGGAAACUGCCAGAUGGAGGGGGAUAACUACUGGAAACGGUAGCUAAUACCGCAUACCAUCAGAAGUGCACAGAUGGGAUUAGAGAGGAGGUGGGGUAAUGGCUCACCUGGGCGACGAUCCCUAGCUGGUCUGAGGGGAUGAACAGCCACACUGGAACUGAGACACGGUCAAGACUCCUACGGGAGGCAGUAGUGGGGAAUAUUGCACAAUGGGCGCAAGCCUGAUGCAGCCAUGCCGCGUGUAUGAAGAAGGCCUUCGGGUUGUAAAGCACUUUCAGCGAGGAGGCGUUACUCGCAGAAGAAGCACCGGCUAACUCCGUGCCAGCAGCCGCGGUAAUUC